GCCGAGGUAGCCAAGCCCGGCCAACGGCGACGGACUCAAGAUCCGUUCUCGCAGGAGUGCGUGGGUUCGAAUCCCUCCCUCGGCACCA
rnacentral:tRNA from 1 species